rnacentral:rRNA from 1 species
GGUUUGAUCCUGGCUCAGAUUGAACGCUGGCGGGAUGCUUUACACAUGCAAGUCGAACGGCACAGACUUCGGUCUGGUGGCGAGUGGCGAACGGGUGAGUAAUGUAUCGGAACGUGCCUAGUAGCGGGGGAUAACUACGCGAAAGCGUAGCUAAUACCGCAUACGCCCUUCGGGGGGGAAAGCGGGGGACCUUCGGGCCUCGCACUAUUAGAGCGGCCGAUAUCGGAUUAGCUGGUUAGCGGGGUAACGGCUCACCAAGGCGACGAUCCGUAGCUGGUUUGAGAGGACGACCAGCCACACUGGGGCUGAGACCUGGCCCAGACUCCUACGGGAGGCAGCAGUGGGGAAUUUUGGACGUGGGGAAACCCUGAUCCAGCCAUCCCGCGUGUGCGAUGAAGGUCUUCCGGGUUGUAAAGCACUUUUGGCAGGAAAGAAACGGCACGGGAUAAUACCCCGUGCAACUGACGGUACCUGCAGAAUAAGCACCGGCUAACUACGUGCCAGCAGCCGCGGUAAUACGUAAGAGGUGCAAGCGUUAAUCGGAAUUACUGGGCGUAAAGCGUGCGCAGGCGGUUCCGGAAGAAAAGAUGUGAAAUCCCAGAGCUUAACUUUGGAACUGCAUUUUUAACUACCGAGCUAGAGUGUGUCAGAGGGAGGUGGAAUUCCGCGUGUAGCAGUGAAAUGCGUAGAUAUGCGGAGGAACACCAAUGGCGAAGGCAGCCUCCUGGGAUAACACUGACGCUCAUGCACGAAAAGCGUGGGGAGCAAACCUUGGGAUUAGAUACCCUGGUAGUCCACGCCCUAAACGAUGUCAACUAGCUGUUGGGGCCUUCCGGGCCUUGGUGCGGCGCAGCUAACGCGUGAAGUUGACCGCCUGGGGAGUACGGUCGCAAGAUUAAAACUCAAAGGAAUUGACGGGGACCCGCACAAGCGGUGGAUGAUGUGGAUUAAUUCGAUGCAACGCGAAAAACCGCCACCUACCCUUGACAUGUCUGGAAUCCCGAAGAGAUUUGGGAGUGCUCGCAAGGAGAACCGGAACACAGGUGCUGCAUGGCUGUCGUCAGCUCGUGUCGUGAGAUGUUGGGUUAGAAUCCCGCAACAGGCGCAACCCUUGUCAUUGAGACUUAGUUGCUACGAAAGGGCACUCUAAUGAGACUGCCGGUGACAAACCGGAGGAAGGUGGGGAUGACGUCAAGUCCUCAUAUUGGCCCUUAUGGGUAGGGCUUCACACGUCAUACAAUGGUCGGGACAGAGGGUCGCCAACCCGCGAGGAGCCAAUCCCAGAAACCCGAUCGUAGUCCGGAUCAUGAUCUGCAACUCGACUGCGUGAAGUCAGAAUCGCUAGUCGGCGAGGAUCAGCAUGUCGCGGUGAAUACGUUCCCGGGUCUUGUACACACCGCCCGUCACA